AUUGAACGCUGGCGGCAGGCCUAACCCAUGCAAGUAGAGCGAGCGGCGGAAGGGUGAGUAAUGUAUGGGGACUUCCCGAUAGAGGGGGAUAACUCCUGGAACCGGUAGCUAAUACCGCAUACUAUCGGAUCACCCAUAUGGGAUUAGCUAGUAGGUGAGGUAAUGGCUCACCUAGGCGACGAGCCCGAGCUGGUCUGAGAGGAUGAUUAGCCACACGGGGACUGUGACACGGCGCAGACUCCGACGGAGGCAGCAGUGGGGAAUAUUGCACAAUGGGCGCAAGCCUGAUGCAGCCAUGCCGCGUGUAGGAAGAAGGCCCUAGGGUUGUAAAGUACUUUCAGUCGGGAGGCGUUACCGACAGAAGAAGCAACGGCUAACUCCGUGCCAGCCGCCGCGGUAAGUC
rnacentral:rRNA from 1 species